UACGUAGGGUGCGAGCGUUUAAUCGGAAUUACUGGGCGUAAAGCGUGCGCAGGCGGUUAUUUAAGUCAGGUGUGAAAGCCCUGGGCUUAACCUAGGAAUUGCGCUUGAGACUGGAUAGCUUUGGAGUGCGGCAGAGGGAGGUGGAAUUCCACGUGUAGCAGUGAAAAUGCGUAGAGAUGUGGAGGAACACCGAUGGCGAAGGCAGCCUCCUGGGCCAGCACUGACGCUCAUGCACGAAAGCGUGGGGAGCAAACAGG
rnacentral:rRNA from 1 species